CCUACGGGUGGCAGCAGUGAGGAAUAUUGGUCAAUGGAGGGAACUCUGAACCAGCCAUGCCGCGUGCAGGAAGACGGCUCUAUGGGUUGUAAACUGCUUUUGUGCGGGGGUAAACCUGAUUACGUGUGUUCUAUUGCAGGUACUGUAUGAAUAAGGACCGGCUAAUUCCGUGCCAGCAGCCGCGGUAAUACGGAGGGUCCGAGCGUUAUCCGGAUUUAUUGGGUUUAAAGGGUGCGUAGGCCGAUGCUUAAGUGUGAGGUGAAAUGUCGGGGCUUAACCCUGGCACUGCAGCGAAUACUGUGGAGCGAGAGAGCAGAUGAGGUAGGCGGAAUGUAUGGUGUAGCGGUGAAAUGCUUAGAGAUCAUGAAGAACACCGAUUGCGAAGGCAGCUUACC
rnacentral:rRNA from 1 species